GAUGAACGCUGGCGGCGUGCCUAAUACAUGCAAGUCGAGCGAACAGACGAGGAGCUUGCUCCUCUGACGUUAGCGGCGGACGGGUGAGUAACACGUGGAUAACCUACCUAUAAGACUGGGAUAACUUCGGGAAACCGGAGCUAAUACCGGAUAAUAUCUUGAACCGCAUGGGUCAAUAGUGAAAGACGGUUUUGCGGUCACUUAUAGAUGGAUCCGCGCCGCAUUAGCUAGUUGGUAAGGUAACGGCUUACCAAGGCAACGAUGCGUAGCCGACCUGAGAGGGUGAUCGGCCACACUGGAACUGAGACACGGUCCAGACUCCUACGGGAGGCAGCAGUAGGGAAUCUUCCGCAAUGGGCGAAAGCCUGACGGAGCAACGCCGCGUGAGUGAUGAAGGUCUUCGGAUCGUAAAACUCUGUUAUUAGGGAAGAACAAAUGUGUAAGUAACUAUGCACGUCUUGACGGUACCUAAUCAGAAAGCCACGGCUAACUACGUG
rnacentral:rRNA from 1 species